rnacentral:rRNA from 1 species
UACGUAGGGUGCGAGCGUUGUCCGGAAUUAUUGGGCGUAAAGAGCUUGUAGGUGGUUUGUCGCGUCUGCUGUGAAAAUCCGAGGCUCAACCUCGGACUUGCAGUGGGUACGGGCAGACUAGAGUGCGGUAGGGGAGAUUGGAAUUCCUGGUGUAGCGGUGAAAUGCGCAGAUAUCAGGAGGAACACCGGUGGCGAAGGCGGCGAUCUGGGUCGAUACUGACGCUGAGGUGCGAAAGCGUGGGGAGCAAACAGG